GUCAGGAUGAGCUUGUGUGGCACAAGUGACGACUUCAAAUCGUUAGACCAUUGAAAGGUGGUAGCAGUUCGAUUCUGUCUUCUUGACG